AUAGAACAUUAAAGAAAUGAGAUGCUUAACUUUGUUUACUGCAAACUUUCAUGCAACUUUGGUAGAAAACUGCUGAUGUUUGUGCAAGGAUAAUCACAGUCAUCGGGAGACCGCUCUAUUCUGUGAUUCAAUCAAGAGGAGCAUUUUGUCCUAUGACCCGAUCAAUUUCCUUGUCAGAAGAACACUGUUCUGUAACCCACCCCAUGUGUUAUGAUCUGCUAAUAAAAGGCUUCUGCUGAGGAGACCCAUCAGAGAGCAGAUGUGGCUGAACGUGGCUCUCUCCUCCAGCAGGACCUAAAAUCCCUAUGCUGUGCGGACUUUCAUUUAUCAUGAACCUACAAUUUUGAACGUAACAGAAGUGACUGAAAUAGUUUGUCGCUGGGGUGCGAGGGAUCAGCCACAAUCUUCCCUGCACGCCUCGGAGUCCUGGAGGUGUACAAAUCCUGGAGAGAUGGAAGAUUUCACUCAACCACUGAUGAGCUGGAAGAAUUACAGCAAACAAGGAACAAAUCCCAACCUGCGCUCUAAAAACACUUCUGUUUCAUUUGAAGUUAAACAGAAAUAAAUAUAAAGGGUGGUGCCCUGUCCUCGUUGGGCCUCCCUGCACACCUGUGGCUCGUUGGUCAUUACCAG